AUUGAACGCUGGCGGCAUGCCUUACACAUGCAAGUCGAACGGCAGCGCGGGAGCAAUCCUGGCGGCGAGUGGCGAACGGGUGAGUAAUACAUCGGAACGUGCCCAAUCGUGGGGGAUAACGCAGCGAAAGCUGUGCUAAUACCGCAUAAGAUCUACGGAUGAAAGCAGGGGAUCGCAAGACCUUGCGCGAAUGGAGCGGCCGAUGGCAGAUUAGGUAGUUGGUGAGGUAAAGGCUCACCAAGACUUCGAUCUGUAGCUGGUCUGAGAGGACGACCAGCCACACUGGGACUGAGACACGGCCCAGACUCCUACGGGAGGCAGCAGUGGGGAAUUUUGGACAAUGGGCGAAAGCCUGAUCCAGCCAUGCCGCGUGCAGGAUGAAGGCCUUCGGGUUGUAAACUGCUUUUGUACGGAACGAAACGGUCUUUUCUAAUAAAGAAGGCUAAUGACGGUACCGUAAGAAUAAGCACCGGCUAACUACGUG
rnacentral:rRNA from 1 species